UACGGGAGGCAGCAGUGGGGAAUAUUGCACAAUGGGCGCAAGCCUGAUGCAGCCAUGCCGCGUGUAUGAAAAAGGCCUUCGGGUUGUAAAGUACUUUCAGUCGUGAGGAAGGUGUUAAGGUUAAUAACCUUAGCAAUUGACGUUAGCGACAGAAGAAGCACCGGCUAACUCCGUGCCAGCAGCCGCGGUAAUACGGAGGGUGCGAGCGUUAAUCGGAAUUACUGGGCGUAAAGGGCACGCAGGCGGUUAAUUAAGUUGGAUGUGAAAUCCUCGGGCUUAACCUGGGAAUGGCAUUCAAGACUGGUUAGCUAGAGUCUUGUAGAGGGGGUAGAAUUCCAUGUGUAGCGGUGAAAUGCGUAGAGAUGUGGAGGAAUACCGGUGGCGAAGGCGGCCCCUGGGACAAAGGACUGACGCUCAUGUGCGAAAGCGUGGGGAGCGAAACAGGGAUUAGAUACC
rnacentral:rRNA from 1 species